UACGUAGGGUGCGAGCGUUGUUCGGAAUCAUUGGGCGUAAAGCGAGAGUAGGUGGUUUGCUAAGUCGGGUGUGAAAUCCCUGGGCUCAACCCAGGAAGUGCAUUCGAAACUAGCUGGCUAGAAGAUGGUAGAGGAAGGUGGAAUUCCAAGUGUAGAGGUGAAAUUCGUAGAUAUUUGGAGGAAUACCGGCGGCGAAGGCGGCCUUCUGGACCAUUCUUGACACUGAGACUCGAAAGCGUGGGUAGCAAACAGG
rnacentral:rRNA from 1 species